AGGUCGGUAGUGCAAAGGCAGCACACUGGUUUCCAACUCCAGAAAUAAAGGUUCGAGUCCUUUCCUUCCUGCCG
rnacentral:tRNA from 1 species